CUCAGCAGGAUGUCGCGUUUCUCACCAAAGGGCAGUAAUUGAAACCAUUACCUCAUCCAUUUGGUUAUUCAUGUUUCUAAUGGGAUGAACAGAAAGUCUGGCAUCUCAGUUUUGCCUCUCUCUCUCGCUCGCUCGCUCGCUCUCUGGUGUCGUUUGUCAGCUGUAGAUUACUUUAACAUCCCUGCUAUAAUGAAAUGGAUUUUAACUUUCUAUGGCAUGUGACAUCCUUCUCUGCAAGCGAACGCUUCAAACGGCAGAAACUUCUUAGAGCAAAUAUCGACUUUUCUCAUAAACUGCAGCCAUGCUGAUGCGAAAUGACUUGUAUCUGCGUUACACCACCAGUGUCCAUUAAGGCAGCGUCUAACGAUGAUACGCUCGUAUUAAAAGCUUUGACAAAAGACGAGUCUUUUUUUUUUUUUUUUUUUUAAAGUAGGAGUCGUUUUUCAAAGUAGGAGUCCGACAGUCCCCACUGUGCUCGCAGGAGCCGCUAAUGCUCUUACGCAAUCGUUUGUUUGGCCUUGCUAUUCAUUUCUGUAGGUCGUGAAGCCGCUCUAAAAGCCCGUCGGAAAGCCUGUGGGUGUGCGAGAGAUUGAAGAAAAAUAACUCGAUAACUAACUUUGCUGAAUGGAGAAGGCUGAAAAGUUAAUCCAACGCGUGACCCAGUCUACAAUCGUUCAUGAUGUUCCCACCAAUGAAUAUCUGCAGCAUUUGAUGGAUUGGACGCUCUUGUGCCACGGUGUGACGCAUAUCCAGGGAGGAGUCAGCAAGAUACUCCUCGAGGUGCUCCCUGAAAUACUCCGGGAAGAAGUCUACGGCUGGUGUUUUUGUCAGUCAUGUGACCACUUCAUAUCAAGAUACCUCUGAACGGAGCUCUCAACAACUGGACGCUACAGCCUGGAGAUGGUACCGCUUGGAGUACCACGAUAUGGUCUUGGACUUCAAUUCUACAUGGACGUUCUCGCUGUGGUUGCUGGGACUACGGUUGCUGCGAUGGCAAUUACCACAUGCAGUUUUGCACGCAGGUCUCCUUUAGUGAGCAGCGGACUAGUUCAACAAAGACUUCAUGUUAAAACCUUAAUGAACUUUCUUUUACUCUCGCACUAUCCGGUGUUACCCAGAUGACGACGAGUUCCCUUCGGAGUCCGGUUCCUCUCAAGGUUUCUUCCUCAGAUCAUCUUAGGGAGCGUUUCCUCCGUCUCCUGUGUUUAUAUGUUUCUGUAAAGCCGCUUUGAGACGAUGUCCGUUGUUAAAAGCGCUCUACAAAUAAAACUGAAUUGAACUGUAUUCUUCACUGUUUCGCAC